rnacentral:lncRNA from 1 species
GCAGAGGGUUUAAAAAACCCAAUAACCCCAAAGGAAAUGAAAAAUCGGGAUUUGAACGCAAAGAAACCCAAGUGCUCCCAUCUGAAGCUGCUGCUCGUGCGUCAGAGGCCGGAGUUUGUGCAGGGACUUGUGAUGGUGACGUGCCCAAGGUGGAGGGUGUGGAUGGAGCCAGGAGUGACGUAGAUUCCGUUUGUCACACUGUGUGGAGGAAUAGCAGUGUCUGACACAGGCCUCGGCACCCUGAAAUCCCUUGCCCAGGAGGAGAAGGGGAAGAAAAGGCUGCACAGGAGAGGCCAGGACAGACUCGGGGUUCUGGGUUGUGUCUCCAAAAGCCUUUGUCCCCCACGGAAGGGCCUGUGCCGCGUGUCCCCGAGCACAGCGGAGAUCUGUCACUCGGGAUGUUCCCACGGGAGCUCAGAGCCUGGCACAGGCUGCAGACAGCACACAGCGGUCACUGCCACCCAUUCCUGCCAAAAUCCCUGCACGAAGGGUGACGUAAUCGGGGAGCAAGUUUCUGCUCGGUGGGGGCUGGCAGCACUCACAGCCCCGUUUGGAACGGCAGCUCCAGGCACGAACCACGCUGGGAUCCAGGGAUCCAUGGCGCGGCCCAGGCCGGCGGUGCCGCGUCCCCAGGCUCGCGGCGUGCCCCAGUUUGAGGGGCUGCGAGCGCUCCUGAAGGGUAUGACCCACUUCCCAGCCCUCCCUCCAGCUCGCUGACAUCCUUUUCUCGCCGUUCCCAAGGGCACCGGCUCACGGGGGAAAAUCCUGGAGUGUUUUAAUAAAGAGG